AUUGAACGCUGGCGGCAGGCCUAACACAUGCAAGUCGAACGGCAGCACAGAAGAGCUUGCUCUUUGGGUGGCGAGUGGCGGACGGGUGAGUAAUGUCUGGGUAACUGCCCGAUGGAGGGGGAUAACUACUGGAAACGGUAGCUAAUACCGCAUAACGUCGCGAGACCAAAGUGGGGGACCUUCGGGCCUCACACCAUCGGAUGUGCCCAGAUGGGAUUAGCUAGUAGGUGGGGUAAUGGCUCACCUAGGCGACGAUCCCUAGCUGGUCUGAGAGGAUGACCAGCCACACUGGAACUGAGACACGGUCCAGACUCCUACGGGAGGCAGCAGUGGGGAAUAUUGCACAAUGGGCGCAAGCCUGAUGCAGCCAUGCCGCGUGUAUGAAGAAGGCCUUCGGGUUGUAAAGUACUUUCAGCGGGGAGGAAGGCGGUGAGGUUAAUAACCUUGCCGAUUGACGUUACCCGCGGAAGAAGCACCGGCUAACUCCGUGCCAGCAGCCGCCGUAA
rnacentral:rRNA from 1 species